AGUAGUUUGAUCCUGGCUCAGAAUCAACGCUGGCGGCGUGCCUCAGACAUGCAAGUCGAACGAUUAAAGCUCUCUUCGGAGAGUGCAUAGAGUGGCGCACGGGUGAGUAACACGUAAGUAAUCUACCUUCGAGUGGGAAUAACGUCCGGAAACGGACGCUAAUACCGCAUAAUGCAGCGGCAUCGUAAGAUGACAGUUGUUAAAGAUUUAUCGCUUGAAGAGGAGCUUGCGGCAGAUUAGCUAGUUGGUAAGGUAAUGGCUUACCAAGGCUACGAUCUGUAACCGGUCUUAGAGGACGGUCGGUCACACUGACACUGAAUAACGGGUCAGACUCCUACGGGAGGCAGCAGUCGGGAAUUUUGGGCAAUGGGCGAAAGCCUGACCCAGCAACGCCGCGUGAAGGAUGAAGUAUUUCGGUAUGUAAACUUCGAAAGAAUAGGAAGAAUAAAUGACGGUACUAUUUAUAAGGUCCGGCUAACUACGUG
rnacentral:rRNA from 1 species